rnacentral:rRNA from 1 species
UACGUAGGGGGCAAGCGUUGUCCGGAAUCAUUGGGCGUAAAGAGCGCGUAGGCGGUCCGUUAAGUCCGCUCUGAAAGUCCGGGGCUCAACCCCGGGAGGCGGGCGGAUACUGUCGGGCUAGAGUCCGGAAGAGGCGAGUGGAAUUCCUGGUGUAGCGGUGAAAUGCGCAGAUAUCAGGAGGAACACCAAUGGCGAAGGCAGCUCGCUGGGACGGUACUGACGCUGAGGCGCGAAAGCGUGGGGAGCAAACAGG